CCCCACCGACCGACCCGCCACUCCUCACAGACCCCGGACCGAGACGCGGCUCCCAGAGGCUUUGGCGGCCCCAACCCCGGCCCCUUCGGCCGCGGGGAACCCGGGCCUCGAGAAACCGGCCAGCUGCCGUCGCCAAGGGGCCAUGACCGUCAACUUCCAGUUGCGAUUGGGGCGCCUGGGUGGCUCAGUGGUUGGACGUCUGCCUUCGGCUCAGGUCAAAAAAAAAAAACCCAAAACCCAAAACGAUUGCGAUUGUAAUCUGAUUAUCUGGAAAUGGCAUUUUAGACAUUGGCUUUAUUCGAUUUCUCUCCUGCCCCCUCGCCCACCACACACAUUGGUUUCUAAUUAGAUUUAUUAGUAACAAGGAAAAGGGAAGCUUUUGCAUUUGAUGUUCUCACCUUGCGGGAAGCGUCCACGCUCCCACUUGCCUGUCAGUGCCCAGGAGAAGCUAGUUUAAUAUAAUACAUCCCAAGUUACGGGACAUAGAUAUUACAGCAUUGUUUAGAAUAACUGGGAAGGAGUUAGUGGCUUGUCGCAUUUGGGUGGCAUACAGUGAUCUGGUUGAUAAGUCUUUCCUUAUCCUCAUUUCAGCCUCGUUUACCUUUCACACCUCUCCCAUACUGCAGUUUUAAAUUAUAUGUUUAAAUUUUAUUGAUCUCUCCAGUAUUGAGUUGCAAGCUCAUUUUCAUCACUGUAUUUCCAGUGUCUAACAGUGUGCUAAACAUUGUAGGCACUGAUUAAAUGGAUAUUGACCAAAUGAACUGGAGGUAUCUAAAGAAAUCAAAACUUUUGACAUAUCAUGAAACUCUAGCUUAGCCAAUAGUCACCAUAACCAUAAUAACUGUAUUAAUCUGGCUAACAGGGGUAUGAGGUACUCCGAGAGUCUAGACACAGGAAAUCCAACGAGCUCUGUUUGUCUAGCCAUGAAUCAGCGUGGGCAGUGGAAAGGGACAGAGAAAUUUGGUGGGCUGAGGCAGUAUGUAUGUCUUCAUAGUGCUCGGUGCUUCUGAAAGAUGGAUGAACAAUUCCAGGUAUUAUAAUAAGAUGCUGCAGGAUCAGAUCAAACAUGAACCUCUGCCCUCAAGUCUGAACAUCUGAACGUGUGGACUUAAAGCUGGUGCUCCUCAGGGUACAAUACAGUCAUAGCCCAUUCUCUUCCAGAGAAUAGUUCUGGAUAAUGACAUUUUCCCUGAAAUAUGACCACCAAAUUCCUGAAACUCAUAGUUUGUAGCUAUUUUAAAAAGAAAA